AACAAACAUGGAAGCAACCCUCCGACAAGGAAAAGAAACCCCAAACAUUAGUCAUUCCAAAAUUCACCAGGAAAUGAGAUAUUAAGUAUACGUGGAAUAUUCAUUUGAGCAAGAAUAUGAAGAUAUGAGCCACAACAUGAAGGUAUUAAAAAUGAGGUUAUCGAAAGCCUCGACCUCAGACCUUAAAUGAGAUUUACAUAUGUGAUGCUUUCACUAGCCAAAAGUUAAUGUAUUUAUAAAAGAAAAUUUAAAGAUGAAAUGUGGCACUAAUCGGUCUAAUUUAAGUUACUCCAUAAAAUAUACUCUUUAAUUUAAUUUAGAAAGAUAAAA